rnacentral:rRNA from 1 species
UGACCCCAGGUCAGGYGGGAUUACCCGCUGAG